rnacentral:rRNA from 1 species
CCUACGGGAGGCUGCAGUGAGGAAUAUUGGUCAAUGGCCGAGAGGCUGAACCAGCAAAGUCGCGUGAGGGAAGACGGCCCUACGGGUUGUAAACCUCUUUUGUCGGGGAGCAAAGCGAACCACGUGUGGUUCAUUAAGAGUACCCGAAGAAAAAGCAUCGGCAAACUCCGUGCCAGCAGCCGCGGUAAUACGAGGGAUGCGAGCGUUAUCCGGAUUUAUUGGGUUAAAGGGGUGCGCAGGCGGAGGUGCAAGUCAGCGGUCAAAUUGCGGGGCUCAACCCCGUACUGCCGUUGAAACUGCAUCCCUUGAGUGCGCGAGAGGUAUGCGGAAUGCGUGGUGUAGCGGUGAAAUGCAUAGAUAUCACGCAGAACUCCGAUGGCGAAGGCAGCAUACCGGCGCGCAACUGACGCUCAUGCACGAAAGCGUGGGUAGCGAACAGGAUUAGAUACCCGAGUAGUC